GCUUAGGGCCCAUACUGGGUUCCUAGGACUACGACUAAGGUGGAGGUGACUUCUCAUGGGCCUCCAGAGAAGGAGUCCAGGGCUUCUGCUGACAGGCCUGUGUGUGGGACUGCUAUUCAGUUGGACGAACCUUGCCCAGCCAACCGACCUCUCAGCACUGGCUCACCACCCCCAUUUGUGCCAGACUACACGGGAUGCCUCAGGCCGCCUCUAUCCUGGCUUUUUCUGUCCUCGCCUCUCCGAUACUCCUGAGGAAGCCUACUGUUGCCAUCUGCAGGCUGCCGGGGGUUCCUGCUGUACCCUGGAUGAAUUUGAGGCCCUGUACCAAGUAAACCUGUCUUCUCUUCAGCCCCCACCCAUCCUCAGAGGCCCAGGCCCGCUCCUAGCACUGGGCAUCUACAGUCUACUGCUGAUGGCACUGAUGACUGCAGAUUUCGUGCACUUCUGCCGUGGUCGGGGACGGAGGGAAAGACAAAACUCCAGCUGCCGUCGCCUUUCCGUUCGGGCCUCUGCCGCGCGCCCCCUACAGGUUCCAGUGGGAACAGACUAGGCGCUCGUAAAAGCAUCCUUGAGCCUGAGCCUGAGGCUGAGCCUGCGCCUGCGCAAUGCGGCCGAGUACCCCGCCCCUGCACAGAGGCAACCUCUUCUUUGCCUCGCCUUCUUUGGCGUAACCCUGACGCAUAGCUGGGGCGGGGCAGUCGCCGGCAUCUCACCGAGCCCAGGGCCACCUUUGCUCCAGAGACUGCUCCUGCACCGGCUCUUGGAGCUCAGCUUCGGGAUGACUGUGAGUGGCCCGGGGACCCCGGAGCCCCGACCUUCCGACCCCGGGGCCAGCUCAGCCGAGCAGCUGCGGAAGGAGGGCAACGAGCUGUUCAAAUGCGGAGAUUACGAGGGCGCCCUGACCGCCUACACUCAGGCCCUGAGUCUCGGCGCAACGCCCCAGGACCAGGCCAUUCUGCACCGAAACCGGGCUGCUUGCCACCUCAAGCUGGAAGAUUACAGCAAAGCAGAAUCAGAGGCAUCUAAAGCCAUUGAAAAGGACGGUGGGGAUGUCAAAGCACUUUAUCGCCGAAGCCAAGCCCUAGAGAAGCUGGGCCGCCUGGACCAGGCUGUCCUCGACCUGAAGAGAUGUGUGAGCCUAGAACCCAAGAACAAAGUUUUCCAGGAGUCCCUGAGGAACAUUGGGGGCCAGAUUCAGGAGAAGGUGCGGUACAUGUCCUCCACAGAUGCCAAAGUAGAACAGAUGUUUCAGAUACUGUUGGACCCCAAAGAAAAAGGCACAGAGAAGAAGCAGAAGGCUUCUCAGAACCUUGUGGUACUGGCCCGAGAGGAUGCUGGAGCUGAGAAGAUCUUCCGGAGCAACGGGGUCCAGCUCUUGCAACGCCUGCUGGACACGGGAGAGACUGACCUCAUGCUGGCAGCCCUGCGCACACUGGUUGGCAUUUGCUCUGAGCACCAGUCGCGGACAGUGGCUACCCUGAGUGUCCUGGGAACUCGGAGAGUCGUCUCCAUCCUGGGUGUGGAAAACCAGGCCGUGUCGCUGGCAGCCUGCCACCUGCUGCAGGUUAUGUUUGAUGCCCUCAAGGAAGGUGUCAAGAAAGGCUUCCGAGGCAAAGAAGGUGCCAUCAUUGUGGAUCCUGCCCGGGAGCUGAAGGUUCUCAUCAGUAACCUCUUGGAGCUACUGACUGAGGCGGGGGUCUCUGGCCAAGGCCGUGACAAUGCCCUGACCCUCCUCAUUAAAAUGGUACCCCGGAAGUCGCCGAAGGACCCCAACAAUAGCCUCACACUCUGGGUCAUUGAUCAAGGUCUGAAAAAGAUUCUGGAAGUGGGGGGCUCCCUGCAGGAUGCUGCUGGGGAGCUCACGGUGACAGCAAACAGCCGCAUGAGUGCCUCCAUCCUCCUCAGCAAGCUGUUUGAUGAUCUGAAGUGUGAUGCCGAGCGGGAGAACUUCCACCGACUCUGUGAGAACUACAUCAGGAGCUGGUUUGAGGGCCGAGGGCUGGCCGGGAAGCUGCGAGCCAUCCAGACAGUGUCCUGCCUUCUGCAGGGCCCAUGUGACGCUGGCAACCGGGCCUUAGAGCUGAGUGGUGUCAUGGAGAGCGUGAUCGCUCUGUGCGCCUCAGAGCAGGAGGAAGAACAGCUGGUGGCAGUGGAGGCGCUGAUCCACGCAGCCGGCAAAGCCAAGCGGGCCUCCUUCAUCACUGCCAACGGCGUCUCGCUGCUCAAGGACCUGUACAAAGGCAGCGAGAGGGACAGCAUUCGCAUCAGAGCGCUAGUGGGACUCUGUAAGCUCGGGUCAGCUGGAGGGACUGACUUUAGCAUGAAGCAGUUUGCCGAAGGCUCUACUCUCAAACUGGCCAAGCAGUGCCGAAAGUGGCUAUGCAAUGACCAGAUUGAUGCGGGUACUCGGCGCUGGGCAGUGGAGGGCCUAGCUUACCUCACCUUUGAUGCUGAUGUGAAGGAGGAGUUUGUGGAGGACGAGGCUGCUCUGAAGGCCCUGUUCCAGCUCAGCAGGUCUGAAGAAAGGUCAGUGCUCUUUGCCGUAGGCUCAGCACUGGUCAAUUGCACCAAUAGCUACGACUAUGAGGAGCCUGACCCCAAGAUGGUGGAGCUGGCCAAGUAUGCCAAGCAGCACGUUCCAGAACAGCACCCUAAGGACAAACCGAGCUUCGUGCGCGCUCGUGUGAAGAAGCUGCUGGCAGCAGGUGUGGUGUCAGCCAUGACGUGUAUGGUGAAGACAGAGAGCCCUGUGCUGACAAACUCCUGUAGGGAGCUACUCUCCAGGGUCUUCCUGGCUUUGGUGGAGGAGGUGGAGGAUCGAGGUACUGUGGUUGCCCAGGGAGGGGGCAAGGCUCUGAUCCCGCUGGCCCUGGAAGGCACUGAUGUUGGGCAGACGAAGGCAGCCCAGGCUCUUGCCAAGCUGACCAUCACCUCUAACCCAGAGAUGACCUUUCCUGGUGAGCGGAUCUACGAAGUAGUCCGGCCCCUUGUCUCUCUACUGCACCUCAGUUGCUCAGGACUGCAGAACUUUGAGGCCCUCAUGGCCCUAACGAACCUGGCAGGGAUCAGCGAGAGGCUCAGACAGAAGAUCCUGAAGGAGAAAGCUGUGCCUAUGAUUGAGGGCUACAUGUUUGAGGAGCAUGAGAUGAUCCGCCGGGCAGCUACAGAGUGCAUGUGUAACUUAGCCAUGAGCAAAGAGGUGCAGGAUCUCUUCGAAGCCCAGGGCAAUGACCGGUUGAAGCUGCUGGUGCUGUACAGCGGAGAGGAUGAUGAGCUCCUGCGGAGGGCUGCUGCCGGCGGCCUGGCCAUGCUCACCUCCAUGCGGCCCUCCCUCUGCAGCCGUAUCCCACAAGUGACCACACACUGGCUGGAGAUCUUGCAGGCCCUGCUUCUAAGCCCCAACCAGGAGCUGCAGCACCGGGGCACUGUGGUGGUGCUGAACAUGAUGGAGUCCUCGAAGGAGAUGGCCAGCACCCUGAUGGAGAGCGAGGUCCUGGAGAUCCUGUCAGUGCUGGCCAAGGGCGAGGAGAGCCCGGUCACUAGGGCUGCUGGGGCCUGUCUGGAGAAGGCAGUGGAAUAUAGACUCAUCCAACCCAACCAGGAUGGAGAGUGAGGAUCGGCCCGGGCCCACAGCUCAUGCGUCUGUCACCCAUCACAGCUCUAAGAGUCCAGAUAGAAGCAGCUGGGCCAACAGGACCUGCCUCUCCUCCACAGCUGCACUUCGGUGUUCUCUAUUCUGAGGACACACACCACACAGCCCUGCCCUGCCACACUCAGAAGGGCCCUGUCUGUACUGUAGAGAGCUGGGAAUGAGGAACGCGCAUCUCAUUCAAACCUGUGGAUUAUGGGCAUCAAGAAGGAAGGGCACAGCAGCAUCCUCACAAGCUGGGAGCAGCACCAGAGCCUGCCAGCAGGCUCGUCCCUCUAAUAAAGCAUGUGGAACUAAAGCUUGUGUUUGUUGUGUAGGCAGGGCUGCUGAGGGUGGGACGUUCUGGAGCAGCAGCUGGCACCAGCAAAGUGUGCUGCAGAGUACUGUCGCUGUAAGAGAAGGAAGCCAGCGGGCCCAUGGAGGGUCUUUGUAGACAAGGCCUUAAUAUGGGCAGGUCAGGCUGGCUUCAAACUGAUAAUCCUUUCUCAGCCCUUAGAGUAGUGGGCAUCACAAAGUGCCAUCACCCAGCCUGGGCUCUUUCUACGUCUUUGUGUUAGCCUAAAGCUUGGGAAACUGAUCAAAUUUCAGUGUCAUUUAAUGGUAGUCUUAUAUGCUGGCCCUUGGAUACAUUUGUCAUGAUAUUGUGAGUUUUCUGCGUAGUCUGUGUUUGGAAUUUGAAGUCAGUGUGCGCUUCCCUCGGGGAAAAUAAAUUUUUCUGUAGUUGUGCCAGGUUAAUUCUCCUUACCUAGGAACACCAGUUUCUUAGAGGCCCCGAGUCCAAGCUUGAGACUCAUUGGCUCAGUACAAGUAAGUGACAGAGCCUGGGCCAAUCAGUGAAGGCACUGAUACUACCGCUUCCGGUUUGGCCGUCGGUCCUGCGCUUGUUCAGUAGUGAACCACCUCCUUCCUUGUUCAAAGGGAAUGGAGGAUGUCAGGGCUUGGUCUUCGCCCGCUGUUCCCCUCGAAUCUUCAUGAGUAUUCACUCAGUGGUUCCAACUGCGUCCACUGGCGUUGGCGCCCACAGGAGACUUUGGCCCACUGCCUAGCGGCAGGUAACCCGGCGCACGUGCGUACGUCCGGCGGGCCCCAGUGAUGACGUCACCGCUCGUGCCUACGAUUGGCUCUGAAAAGCUGCCACACCCAAUGACCGCUUUGCUUGGCGCGGGGCCCCGCCUGCGAUCUGUUCCGGAGCCGCGCACUACAACACGCUCUUCGUUUUCAAGCGCGAGCUCCCUGGGGCUGAUAGUCACCUCAUUAAGCCAAAAGAUACGCGCUAACAAAGACUUCUUGAAAGAAUAAACGACCGAGUAAGGUCCAGUGGAAA